ensembl:snoRNA small nucleolar RNA SNORA5
UGCAGCCAUAUCAAAUUCGGUGCCUGCCCACCCAUGGCGGGCACUGGCCCAGAAGGCUGCCACAGAAACACUGUGGUGCAUGGGCCCUGAUCCCCUCUGCUGGGCCUCAGGGAUAAGUUUGGCUACAGACAUCA